rnacentral:lncRNA from 1 species
UGAUCUCAGCUCACUGCAAGCUCUGCCUCCCAGGUUCAAGUGUUUCUCCUGCCUCAGUCCCCCGAGUAGCUGGGACUACAGGCGUGCGCCACCAUGCCUGGCUAAUUUUUGUAUUUUUAGUAGAGACGGGGUUUCACUAUGUUGGCCAGGCAGGUCUCGAACUCAUAACCUCAAGUGAUCGGCCUGCCUUGGCCUCCCAAAGUGCUGGGAUUACAGGCGUGAGCCACCGUGCCCGGACAAGAUAUGAUCUUAAGGCUUACAUUUAGAUUAACAAUUCCAUUUUCUGAAAGGUAAUUAAUUUAGUCUAUGAUCCUGUAACAGGAUAAAAGUGAAAAAUAAAGAAGGGUAUCCCCAUCAUCUCCUCCAAAU